ACCUGGCUGGCUUAGUUGGUAAAGCAUGUGACUCUUGAUCUCUGGGUCGGGAGUUCAAACCCCACGUUGGGCA
rnacentral:tRNA from 1 species